GUGACAGGUGGUGCAUGGUUGUCGUCAGCUCGUGUCGUGAGAUGUUGGGUUAAGUCCCGCAACGAGCGCAACCCUUAAGCUUAGUUGCCAUCAUUAAGUUGGGCACUCUAGGUUGACUGCCGGUGACAAACCGGAGGAAGGUGGGGAUGACGUCAAAUCAUCAUGCCCCUUAUGAUUUGGGCUACACACGUGCUACAAUGGACAAUACAAAGGGCAGCUAAACCGCGAGGUCAUGCAAAUCCCAUAAAGUUGUUCUCAGUUCGGAUUGUAGUCUGCAACUCGACUACAUGAAGCUGGAAUCGCUAGUAAUCGUAGAUCAGCAUGCUACGGUGAAUACGUUCCCGGGUCUUGUACACACCGCCCGUCACACCACGAGAGUUUGUAACACCCGAAGCCGGUGGAGUAACCAUUUAUGGAGCUAGCCGUCGAAGGUGGGACAAAUGAUUGGGGUGAAGUCGUAACAAGGUAGCCGUAUCGGAAGGUGCGGCUGGAUCACCUC
rnacentral:rRNA from 1 species